GCAGUAGCGGCGUGCCGCAGCCCGCCCGCCGACACCUCGCCGCGGCCCGGAGUCUGAAACAGCUGCUUUGAAGAGAUCUUUCACAUGAAUGACUAGGCUGUGAAUUGCUAAGUUCCUGGUUUGCUAUGGAUACAACUGUUUCAUUUUCCUGCUGCUGCAUCCUGUUAUUCUUCCCAAGAUUUUUGUGCAGAACAGGGCAGAGAGAACUCACCUGCAGCCAGUGGAUUUGACUGUUGAUAAGAAGGAACAGAUGGCAGCACCAUUCUGUCUCAGCACCAAACACUGUCUGGGAGAUGUAUGCAAUGUAAAAAGCAUCCCUGUGUGGAGAAGCAGAUAGUGCUCCUGCAAAGGGAAUUAUAGCUUUUGUUUCCUUGGAAAAAGAGGGGGAAAAAAAAAAAAGAGAAGAGAAGAGAAGAGAAGAGAAGAGAAGAGAAGAGAAGAGAAGAGAAGAGAAGAGAAGAGAAGAGAAGAGAAGAGAAGAGAAGAGAAGAGAAGAGAAGAGAAGAGAAGAGAAAAAAAGAAAAAUAACAUAAAAAAAAGAAAAAGAAUGUCCAUUUGAAUAAACAGUGAUAAUAAUUUUAUCUGAAUAAAUCUUUAAUAAAUUGAAAUUAUUACUGCAGGCUUAAAUAAGCGGUAAGAUUUGACAAGAAGGGCAUUAUCAUCUAAUUAUACUUACUUUAUGAAAGAGAGGGGCAAGGGCCAACCUGUGAGCUGUCUGAACUGCAGUAAUAGAGUGAUCCCCUCUGCAGACUAAAGAAGGAGCCAUCAGACAACAAUAACACACAAGCGGUGCACUGAACGUUGCAGUGGAAACCAUGAUUCACAGAUACACUGUCUUAAUUGUUACGGAAGCGAGUAGAGUGGUACGGAAAGUGCAUGGCAGAGCAGCCUUUGCUGGAUGGAUGAGAGGAUCCCGUGCCAGAUAUUAUAUGAUACUCCUGAAGGUUUCUUUAAUUAUCAGCAGUCAGUGCUGUGUGUGAGCUUCCUAUUGGCUCAGCGCUCAGCAUAAAGCCGCGUAUCUGCAUUGCAAACAGGUGUACAGGUAGAACUGGUACGUAAAUUACCUUCUUCCUGAGGGCAUCUGCCUUCCUAGGAACACUUAAGAAAUGCUGAGAAGACACCUGUGAGCGGCUCUAUUGGUGUCUCAUAUUCUGCUGUUGGCACUGGAUUAUAAAGAGCUGUGCCCACUGAAACAUCUUGCCUUUCUCAUACGAGCAGUGGGAAAAAACAGGGAAUCAAUAAACGGAAAAAUCAUUGCCUGCUAAUGUUCACAAUCUCUUUGAACGUUGGAUUUGUUUGGCAAAUAGGACUGACUUGUUUAAAACCUCCACAUGAGACAUUUAUUUCACAGAGAGCAAAAAAGAAGAGUGAUCAUCAUAAUCUGCUGGAAUUAACAACCUAGCAUAGCUCUUGGCUUAGAUUAACUGCUGCAUUUAUGGUGUACUCCAAAAAGCAGUUCUCUUGUGUAUGUACAGACUGUUUUGUUUUGCAUAUUUACAUUUUUUAUUUAUGAACUGUUAAUCUCAGCCCUCCCUAGAUUAUGUCCUUAUGAUACAUAUUUUUUCAUACUCACCUGGCGACAUAUGAGCUUUUCUCAUUAGAAUCUUGUCUCACUUAGCACUUAGGUUGGAACAACACCAUGCAGCAGGGAAAGGCACUGUCUUUCAUCCCCUGCAGAAGUCCAUCCAUCCUUCUCAGCCCUCGUAGACAGGCCUGAGCCAUUUUGGUCACCGCAAGCAAGGAGCUCCAGGCUGCGGUGGGGACAGCACACACACAGGCAGGACAGUGAGGGAGUGCAGAACUUUGGGAGGCUCUUCCAGAGCUGCACAAUGAAGAGAAGGCCAUGGACAAAGUAAUGACUUCUCCACUCUGUCUUUUGAAAACAGCUUGGCAACUCUGGUGGGAUCAUCCCCAAACAGUGCAGCAUGCAGCAGAUAUUGAGCAGGUUCAUUGAGGCCAGACUCUGAUAUCAAAGGUGAUAUGAGUGACUGACAUGGCCACACCACCACGGCAGCGUGGAGGGCUAUGGUCACACACACUCCCCCAUUGUUUCCCAGGAGCAGUCAUAUCUCACCUUACCUCCCAGGGCUCAGAAGGAAGGCUAGAAAUAGAAACAUAUUACAGAUGUGCACUGGGGAUGUGGUUGGGCUUAGUUUCUGUUCCUUUCCCCGUUGCAAGGGCUAAGCAUGCUUUUGCAUUUCUGAAGGCUGGGACUGGCCGCUGUGAGCAUAAAUCAUGAUGGUAUGGUAAAAAACUGUGAACAGCGAGGUCCUUAAAAAAGAGAUGUUCAGACACCUUCAUCUGAAGUAACAGAAGAUGCCCCGCAGUUACUGUACACACUAGGUGUCAGUUUGCCUAGAUGUUGCUGCUUUCAUACAGCCUUUGGUACUUAAAUUCUCUCAUUUUGUAUAUAAUUCCCUAUAACGUGCCAACACUGCAGCCAAUAUAACUUCAUGUCUUUUUUCACUUGUGCCAGAAAGCUGAACAAGUGGGAUGAGGUUACGCUAAGCAAGAAGGAGAUCACUGGCAAGAAAGAUCUCAAAAGUUCACAGAAAAGCAAGAGAAAAAGAGACACAAAAAGAUCUUGUCAAGAAGAAUGCUCAGAGCACCAAGUUAUAUCUCCCUCGACAUAAACACAUACAGACAAAAAUGACUCACUGUGAGUCAGAGAGAGGGGUUUUAUUUACACCACAGAACUUGGAAAUAACAUUGCUGCCGAUUCUGUUCUGUUCAGUGAUGGUGGGUAUAAGCACAAGGCUGCUAACACUUCUGUAUGAAUCAACGUUUUAAAAUCACUCCUCCCUUCAGUCAGAACUGUUUUCUCGCUUAUGUGAAUUAACCUACCGAACUGGCACAUGAAAUAGUCUGUUUCAGUAUCUAUUACUGAAUAUGUUUUGGCCUGGAUCCCUACAGCAGUUAGGAGCUUGAGUUGUACUGAAAUCACUGAGCAGAGGGGGAAAAAGAAAGUAUUAUUCCUGCUCUUUUCUCUGAGUAACUUUCAGACCAUGACCUGUGGCCAAGCUUUGUGGGAGAAUCUGUCCUGGCACCCUCCUCCAUGGAGGUCCUGUGUGUGGGACACAGCAGUGAGGGAGAAGCAGGGCUGGGAGGUGCUGUGAGCAUGGGACAGAAUACACCUGGAUAGAAUACGUCCCUACUCUUUGUGAGGAGUGAACUGAGAUGUGCUCAUCUUUGACAAGGUGGAUACAUUUCUCCUAGAAAGAAAACACUUUUUGAUCUAGAAAAAACAUCUGAGCUGCUGAGAAAUAUUUUGAUAGAUGUUUCGUUGCCAUCCCUACCAGUCAUUCAUGUCCAACAUGUCCCCUGCCGCCAUAACAGAACAGCAAUACUUCACAAUGGCAAGUCCAGAUGCAUUUUGAAUGGGUGCUCUAUGGCUGGUGAUGUCUCCUGCUUGCCUCCCAGCUCCUACAGCCCCCUGUAAGACAGCAUGGUGAUGAGUCUGUUGUUGGAAUUUGGGACAGGCAGGGGACAUCACACAUUCGGCAGUAGAAAAGCUUUUCUUCUGUUCUCCUACAGAGGAACUCUCAACAAUUAUUUUUUUCUAAACAAAAUAUGAAGUUUGGGGCAAAUAUUUAGGGUGCAUUCAGAUGCCAAGUGUAAAGAGUGGGUGAGAAGGUGUGAUGUCUACAAACAGAGCCAGUACGCAAAACACUCAGUUAUGGACAUGGCCAAGGUAAAUAGGACUGCUGAAACUGUCUUAGCCCCCCACCGUCCUCAUGUGUGGGUUUAUAUGUGCCAGCAGAGCCAGGUUAACCUUAAUUGUGUGUUGUUUAACUUGGCUGUAAACGGCCAACCCUUUUUCUAACUUGGCUCCAAUUGCAGGUAUCACACCUUUCCACUACUGACCUUUCUUGUCUAAAUUGUUUUUUUAAUGCAUAUUAAAUAUUUUUGAUCUACUUUAAUUUCCUAUGGCUUUUUACUGCAGAAAAUGUUACAGAAAAUAUUUCUUCUGAUAGAAAGACAUAUUUUAAUAGCAAAAGUCUUACGUUCUCAAUAGCUGGGCAGGUGAGCAGGUUGUAGAAUCUGGUUCUUUCUGAAGGAAGUAGUGUCAGAAAACCUCACUGAAAUCUGAUGUACUGUUUUUUUCAGUGCAUUCAUUGGCAGAAGUAACAGGAGUGCAACUUCGUCACAGCUGCUAAGUAAGAAAAAUAUUUGAACUGUAAUAACUGAUCGGUAAUUCUUAUUUUCCUUUCAGCAUCGUGUUUCUUAAUAAUGGCUUUAAUAUGUCAACAGUUUGUUAAUGUGAUACUCUGAAAUUUUGAGAAGAUAAAAUGUUUCUCCUUUGGAAGGUAGAAUAUUAAAAACGUGUCCCAUUUAAUUGCCUUUUCUGACAGUUUUAUCUGCAUGCUCCGUGUAACAGAGGUAUUAUAAUUGCUGGUUGACAAAAGGUUUUUAUAAGUUUUGCACACUCUGUAACUCCAGGUGUGAUGCUCUCCAUAGCAGCAGUGGCACACACGAUCUGGGGACUUGGCCCAGUUCUUACAGAAUUCAAUUGAAGAGCUUCUUUGACAUCAGUGGAUCAGGUCUUUCAUGAUGAGAGCGAGGAGUAAUUAUUUUCUGCAUGUGGGGUGUCUCAUCAGGAAUUACGCAGUGGUGAGUCAGUUUGUUCUGGCAGUUAAGCUUGCACCAGACUUUCCCUUAUAACUCCAAUUUUGUCUAAAACCCUAAAAUCCUCAGCAACGUGACAGUGGACUGAGAAGGGUGGGGUUUCUAUCUAGCGAGAUAAAGCUUAGGUGGUCUUGGAACCGAUCCCACUAAAGCAAGGGACAGCGUUAAAAAACCCAGUACCAUUUGUACUAAUUAGCAACUUUGCUGACAGCCUCUGGUGAGUAACUCAUUACUGUCUAUUUGUGCGCUUGGCUUAUAAAUCCCCAAACAGCCAGACUGUGCACACUAUUGUACUUCAACACUGUUGUGGUAUCAGACCUUUUUCUUGAACAUUAGCAUGCCUCCUUCUUUCUCUGUGCACAGCACUUGACACAUAAGUAGGUCAGUGGCAUGGAGACACGGCCCCUAAGAAGGAAGGACUUCCACUAUUUCUUUUUAUCUCCUCUCCUGGUCCUGAAGAAGAGAUGAAUAAAAUCUAUUACUUGUUGGCAUCUCUCUUGCUGAUGCUACCUGUUUCUCAGCACAUUUUAAAUUUUGUCUGAUUCGACCCUCACCUGUGCUUGUGGGCACGAGAUCACAUAUUUCAGUAUACUCUUCUUCUCUUCCCUCUGUAAUCCAUAUUAGUCAGACCUGUUGGAAUUUGGAAGAAUUCUGAAGUACUUUUGCCAUGGUUGCAAAAUAAUGUUCUUUUUUCAAUUUCACUACAUAGAUUCUGCUGCUCAGUGAUUUUUCCCCUAUCCUUUACCAUAGGCCAGGCCCUUUCCAGAUGGUAAUGAAUGAUUCCCCUAGGAGUAUCAUUUGCUCAAUUCAAUGAAUUUCUUACAAUGCAGAUACAUGCAUUUCUUUCACAUACCAAUUUGGUUUUAGUUUUCUUGCAGUUUAUUGGCUUCAGUCUCUAUACUCUUCGUGAUCUGUUGCUAAAACUUCUUUUCCCAGCUCCAGUAGGUAUCUCCAACUAUACUGAAACGUAUGCUGCUGUGAUGGCGAUCCUACACUUCUGCCUCUCUGGAUGCAUAGUCUACAUAUUCAGUGUACUCUUUUCCACCAUACCCUCUCCUGACAACAUGUAAUAAGUAGCCUGAGCCUCUAAUCUAAUUUAUUUUGGCUAUGAUCUUUUUCCAACUUGUGCAUUUAGAAGUAAUGGUGCUGAUAGUACUCUGUCCAGUGAAGCUACUGUUGUGUGUCUAACGAAACAAAGAGGACAAGGAUGAACAGACAUCUCUUAAGAAUGCAUUUGGAGGACACUGCACAAACAGAAAGGCCUACAUGGCAGAUUCUACUUUUUACUUAUAUGGUGAUGUGAUGAUAAGGAAAUGCCAGAAUGAAAUUAUGGUUGUAUUUUUCUCAGUAAUAUUUGCCUUGUUUAAACGAGCUUUUGCAAAAGAGCAGAGAUGGGCUGAGGGUUAAAUAACCAAGUUACAAACCAGCAGCAGACCGAAGUUCCUUUCUUUUUUUUUUUUUUUUUUUUUCCUGGCUAAUUGCAAGACGUUGAACUGGUCACUUCAGUAUUCCUUAGCUGUGGUUUCUCUUGUAUCCAGAAUGAGCCACACGUUUUCCCUCGUUCCACUGUCCAUUUGGCAGAAUGGGUCCCGCAUCAUCACAGAGGAGCAGGUUUGGGAGCAUCAUUCAGCUCACUUCACAAAUGCCUAUAAGUGACUUAAGAGCUUUUUGGAUGAAAGGGAAAUUGUUAUUAACAAACAGUUUUGGUGCUUUAACUCAAGACAGGCACCAGAUUCUUGAAAAUAACAAAUGGCAAAGAUUUUGCUUAAGGAGCUCCCUGUGGGUUUGGCUAGAUGGGAUUCUAAUGAGCAGGUUUUUUAUUUCUGGGAGACUCUGUAUCUCCCUGCCACAAUUAUUCAUGUUCAAAUCCUAGAGCCAAAUCCUGCCCUUGGAUGCAUGUUUGCUUCUCCCAUUGGCUUUCUUGAAAUCUGCAGGCACUUUUCCUAAACCACCAUUUGGCCUCCAGUUGUACUGUGGUCAUAUUUGUCUGUCCAAAUGACUGUGGCUCUCCAUUUAUAAUCUUGCAAUUUGCAAUCUCUUUUGAGAUUCUGCUGUGGUGUUUUGUUGCUUUUUCUUUUCUUUUUCUUUUUUUUUUUUUUUUUCCAUUACAGACAUCUUAUUGUAAUAACGAUUUUUUGUUAAAUGGAACCGCAUUGGUAAUUUUGGCUGGCAGUUUCUUGGUUUUGUUUUCUUUCAUAUAUUUUUUGAGAGUAUUCCCUACAGCAUUUUGAAGCUGAUUUCUUUGAUCCGACUCUUACGUUUUGUCUGUCUAAACAAAUUUAAUUUUGCCUAAUGUGUCUAUGCAGUUCCUAGUCACUGUGGUAUCUAGGCACUAAAUUAUAGCCCUCUUCUGAUUGUUUUCUUCUUGUAACGAAGCUAACUUCCUUUCUGAGUGAGUGACCUAGUCAUUGUCAUGCUUUUGUAAACAGUUUCUUCUCUACCUAUUGAUUUUGGUCGAACAUUAGCAACCGCCUGCUGCUUCAGAUUGGGAAGGAGAAUAACUGUCAGAUAGGCAUCCACGUGCAUAUGCACACGGACUUGGACACCUGCUCGUGGAGUGGACAACUUCUGCAGGUUUAUUCUCAAUGAGAGUUGUAGCAACAGCUCCAGUCCAAACUGGGGCAGUGCCAUGGGAAUUUGUGUAGCAUUCACUCUAACAAAGAUCUGCCUGCAUAGGGUUGGGAUCCUAAUUCCUAAAUUUUGGUAUUAGACUCUGCUAUGCAUGGAAAAUGCAAAGCUGAGAACAGCUUAGCAUAUUUUUCCUACAACUGAUGCCAGUAGCUUUAGCCAUCUCUGUGUUUUUGGGUAGGCACUUGCUGUGACAAGCAGGAGGUAAGGAAUGUGCUCCUGCUUGAAAAGGGAAAAUCCAACCCAUUUCUGACAAAACAUUGCCUGUGGAUUUUGAUUAGGAAAGGAAGACAAAGCCCUCUCAAAUAUGGCAGUGUUCCUCUAUGAGCAGUACCCAUCUCCUCAGAUACUUCCCCCUCUCUUUGCAACGUAAAGACGCUGCAUCCAUUUGUGCUAGAUAGUUUGCUGGCAAGCACCAAGGAACCAUCGCUCUGCUCUUUGGGUAGCAGACCUAUGUAAGAAAGUAAUUCACAGACUACAGAUUUAUUGUCAAUUCUGUUAUGCUUAAGGCAGGCAGUAAUUUCGGUUUUCACUGCCAUUAGCUAAUAAUAGUAAUUAAUUAGUAAAUCAUGCCGUUGGGAUCUCAGGGUGAACUAACAGGGAAAAUGUAAUUUUUUUUUUUUUUUUUUUUUAAAAAGAGGCUGAUAAUAUUUCUGAGUUUCCUAUCACAGUUGAGGAUUUAUGUAUGUCCCACUGCUCCAAACUGGAUUUCUGAAGAAAAAACUUACAUCGCCCACAGCACUGUCUGGGAAGUGUUUGAAGCAAAACAAGAAGCUGCACCAAAACUUGACAGAGAAGUGCUAGGAGAUGAAGGGGAAGGCAAGAGGGAAUUGUGUUCCUGCGCUAGCAGCUGGAGGAACAGGGCUGAAACCUAUACUGGGAGAAGCUCAGCCUUUCCUCUGCUAAAGGGGAAGUCUCUGUUCCUCAGGCGAGGAAGGGGGGAAGGAAGCCUCCCUGCUGAGCACUCUCUUACAAGGAAUUGCUGAGAGAAUCAAAGCUGUAUUCACAUUACCGCUCCAUAUUCACGUUACCCCUCCAGUUCCAGCAUUCACGAUGCUCUGCUCUCCUUGAGGUAGGAGGGAAAGAGGCUUGUUUCACUGUUUGGGUUUUUCCCUAGUUUUACUUGCUUAUCAAUGGGGAAGUUUGGGGAAGAAAACACUAGAACAAAUACAGGGUUUUCAAUUCAAGGCCAUUUUAAACCCUUUUUUUCUGGCUGAAAAAAAAAAAAAAAGAAAAAAGAAAGAAAGGAAAGUGGGAGAGAAAAGAAUUAAAAAAUGUGAAUUAGGCUGAGUCAUUUUCACUAUGAAUUGUUUGCAGCUGUCAGAAUCUGAUCUACAUACUUCACUAUAGCUCAAUUUCCUCUCCCGGUUAAUAACACAUUGAACAAACAAAGUAGACUAGACUCCUUUUUUCUUUCAAAUAACCUCGCAGUGGAUCUGCAUUCCUGGUAUAAAAAUAUCUCUGUUAGCUUAGACUAUUUAUAGAACAUCAGAGAGCUGCAAGAUAGUUAAAUAUUAAUUGAUUACCAUCAAAUAACAGACACUAAAACUCAGUAUAUGAACUGCCUUCCUCUGCUGAAUGAAUUAAUAGCAAGAGGAGCACUGUACAGUUGUGGUUUACGGGCUCCCCAUUCAGUGUAACAGGGAGGCAAUGUGUUUGGCAGAGGAGACAGAAGGGGUCUGGGCGUCCAGCUUCAGCUGAAAUCCCUUACAUGCCUCUGGAAGGAUCAGCUCUUGGGAGCUACUGUCUGCUCUUGGGUGAUCCCUCUGGGCCCAGCCAAAGGUGGCACUGUGGACUCUUCCACAGUAUCAAUUUCUUCAUCUUUCCUUUCAAGUGAAAUAGUUAAAAGCAGCAAUGGUGACGUGGCACCACCUGUGUGCAGAAUGUAAAAAACUUGGGACUGCAGAAUAUUUUGAUGCUUCUCUAACAAUCUGGUUGGAAAUAGCAAAAUGCUGCUCUGGCCUAUCUAUUCUGUGGCUUUAAUCAUUGCAAAUGUUAUAAAGAAAAGUAAAAUAUUUAAGAAUUCAACAAAAAAAAUGAAUAUGGAGAGGGAAAAAAAAAAGCUUUCAGGAACAUAAGCCAUUGUUAGAGUUGGAAAGGAGUGAAAGACCUUAACUUAAAGAUUGCUGCUCGUCAAUCACAGGUGAUUGCCAUCAUCUCUGAAGCAGGGCUUGUGCGUUCAGGAUCUUCACUUCAGGAUCUUCACUUCAGGAUCUUCUAAGAGAUCUCAGUUGGUUUUGUAAGAGAAAUCAUUUCCCUGUGCAAUUUGCCUUUUAUCAAGUCCCAGUUCCCACCACCAGGUUUGGCAGUGGGCAGAGCUAUGGCUCUCGGGCACCGGAGAGCUGUGGCAGUGCCCUGACUGCACAGCUAAGGCUGGUGCCACCUUAGGGAUGCCUUGAGAAUUUGGGGUACUUCUACACCUUGGCGUGCUCGCUCCCAUGUGUUUUAAAGAAGAUGACUGAUGGAUAAGUGGCCCCUGCAAUUUUAAACAUGCCUCAUGGGGAAGAAGAAAGUUAGAAUAAAGCAAGAACAGCUUCUAAGGCAGGAUGGCAAGUUUAACAUCUGCCCCUGUUGAUUGCUGGCAGAUUGUAAUGCACAGCUUACAAUGUAAGGUGUGUACAGGAAGUCUGCAGUUCCCUUUUUAUUGCUGAAUGUGCACAUUUCCAAGCAAAGGUGACAUUUUUGUAUGUCAAAACAAAGGUAGGACUGCACAGCCUUUGAAACAUCAAACUCAGAUGGAAAACGAGGAUUUAGAAUGGCUUAAUUUGGGCUUUAUUAAUACCUUUGGGGGAGAGGGAUGGAAGAAAGAUUAGGCAGAUCAGAGCUUUAAAAGUCAUAGAUCAUGCAUUUAAUAGCUCUAAUUCUUAAAUACUCGAAGGGCUUCAUAAAGCCAUUUUCUUCAAGUGCAAACUCUUUCCCACUUUCGACUGUUGCAUCUAGACCUCCCAGGCUCUUUAAAGGAGCUUGCAAGUGAAAGUCUUCAGGUCUUUCCAUCCAGAAGUGAACUUGUACAGACAGAAUGUCUGCAAUUGGUGUUCUUAAAAGGAUCCCACAGGGAGGACACGUGCAGACACACACUUUCAUUCAAGGUGCAUAUCGUAUUAUUUUAGGUACACAGCAAAUGGUCUUCAAAGAUGAAGAAAGAGACUUUUGUUCCAUGCAGUUACAUUUGCUGAACUGGUACACAUCUAGAAAGACUGGAUUUAAAUGAAGUUACUGCUAGAUUUGGGGGGAAAAAAAAUCAAUUCUGGUGUGAUAAGAAAUUGAUGGUUGGAUUUCAAGGUAAAUUUUAUCUAAAACUGAAAUAUUGACUAAGGCAAUAUUAAUAUUUUGCUCUGUUCUCUUUGUUGCAAAGUGGCAUUCCACACUGCAUUGGAUUUUGUCAUUAGCAUGAUAUUAAAAUAAUUUACCUCAGAUUUGUUUUAAA